AUUGAACGCUGGCGGCAGGCCUAACACAUGCAAGUCGAGCGAGCGGCGGACGGGCGAGUAGUGUAUGGGGAUCUGCCCGAUAGAGGGGGAUAACUACUGGAAACGGUGGCUAAUACCGCAUACUAUCGGAUGAACCCAUGGGGGAUUAGCUAGUCGGUGGGGUAAAGGCUCACCUAGGCGACGAUCUCUAGCUGGCCUGAGAGGAUGAUCAGCCACACUGGGACUGAGACACGGCCCAGACUCCUACGGGAGGCAGCAGUGGGGAAUAUUGCACAAUGGGCGCAAGCCUGAUGCAGCAAUGCCGCGUGAAUGAAGAAGGUCUUAGGGUCGUAAAGUACUUUCGUCGGGGAGGCGUUACCCGCAGAAGAAGCACCGGCUAACUCCGUGCCAGCCGCCGCGGUAAUAC
rnacentral:rRNA from 1 species